CAGUUAACAGUCACUGGUGUGAUAGAGAGAAAGUAUCAGUUUUAAGAUUGAUGUACUACACUCAUCCCUCAGAAGCGGCAACCCUGGUCCUAGCAGUCGUGAAUAUAUGGGACUUUGGUCUAAUCUGUAAAAAGAUUGUUGACAAAUUUUAUCAUGGUGAAGACGGGAUCUUAGUAUCGCAUAAUCCUUGGAUCGCAAGAUCAAGAUGUUACAACACAACGGCAAAUCACCUCCCUAAGAUUUCCAUUUACUUAAUUUACAUUCAUUCAUUGAUAACUUUUCUUAAAGGUUUCAAAUACAUAGUAUUUGUAUUUAAUUGGUAUGAUCAUGUCAUGGUUCAUAACUGUUCACUGUUUAGGGGAGACACUGUAUAAGUGGCCGGAUAGCUCAAACGGGUUAGCCACUGUAUGGUACUUUGAGGGUCCCGGGUUCAAAUCCCGGAUAGGCUGCACAUUUUUCUCACCGUGUUACAAAAUUACCAACUGGUAGAACAUAAGAGUUUUGUGAUAAUUCUCAAUAUAAUAUAUUUAAUCAUACUUAACUUUUUAUAUGCAUUAAACAUUUUAAUCUUGUUGCAUAUAAUUAUACAAACUGAUAGACUUGUAUAAGAGAUAUUGGUGGAGUUGCAAUAAAAACACCAUAUAUUCCUGUAUAUAGAUAGGAAACAACUAUUGAAUUAUAGAAAUUAAAUGUUUACAAAAUUUGAA